UGUUCGGCACCUGAAGUCCUGGGGCCAAAAAUCUAGAGGUUUCGGAAUAAGAAAGGCACGAAUCAGGAUGUGAAGAGAAAGCAGAGAUAGGAGGGGAGAGUUUGGGGGUUGGGACAGCUCUGAAAGGGCAAGAGAAUGAGAAAAGAGCGUUUGUAAAGGAUGAGUCGGGACAGGUGAAACGAGCACCCCGGCAUUUGACUUUCGCCAGCUCCAAGGCACGCUCCCCCAACCCACGAGACAUCCAAGAUGGCGCCAGGCCCGCGCGGUUGGAGGUCACAGGCACGCGGAAGGGGCAGCCCUAAAGCACGGGGAUACGGAGGUGAUCAGCUAGGAGAAAACCAGCAUCAGCGAACGAGAAGAUACGGGCUAAAGAUGAUUAGGACUCAAGCGCCCUGACCCUAAGCCUUCUUUCCUGAGUCAUGAGACAGUCAAGGAAUAAUGGGCAUCAGUGACCUGAGAUAUUUUUGGAGAUCCUACUACGUGCCAGGGGCUGUUCUGGGUGCUGGAAACACAGAUGUGAAUAAAAUAAGACAAAAUCCUUGCCUCCUCAGAGCUGACAUUUUAUAUAAAUUAUGAAGCAUAAUAAUAAAAUGGGCAUCCAUUAAACAACCC